AUGCCCUAAACUCUAGGGCUUUUGGGGCGGAAAAAUGGAGCACAAGAGCAGUGCUAGAUUCCAUCGCCAUGCUGCCGCGGACAAUCCCACGCUCGUAAGAUACGUUCCUUUCCUCGUUGUGGCGCUCGUCGUGGCGCAUCUUCUCGCAUUUGCAUUUUGGAUCUACAAGGUCAUGACAGAGAAACCCAGACAACGAAGAAAGACGCACUGAUCGAUCAAAGGUUUAAAUUCCUUGCGGCAGGACGCAAGGAUUUUUGUGCUUGCGACAAUUCACGUUUUUGUACACUUGACUUGUUCUUGUUUGUUCCUUCGAAAAUCGCAAUCCUGGCAUGCUUCAACGUAAAAUUCUUGACUUGAA